rnacentral:rRNA from 1 species
GAUUAAGUUAUUAAGGGCGCACGGUGGAUGCCUUGGCACUAGAAGCCGAAGAAGGACGUUACUAACGACGAUAUGCUUUGGGGAGCUGUAAGUACGCUUUGAUCCAGAGAUUUCCGAAUGGGGAAACCCAGCAUGAGUUAUGUCAUGUUAUCCGCAUAUGAAUACAUAGUAUGUGAGAAGGCACACCCGGAGAACUGAAACAUCUUAGUACCCGGAGGAAGAGAAAGAAAACUCGAUUCCCUGAGUAGCGGCGAGCGAAACGGGAAGAGCCCAAACCAAUAGGCUUGCCUAUUGGGGUUGUAGGACACUCAAUACGGAGUUACAAAGGAAAUGAUUAGACGAAUGGUUUUGGAAAAGCCAACCAUAGAAGGUAAAGGUCCUGUAGUCGAAAGUCAUUUCUCUCCUGAGUGGAUCCUGAGUACGGCGGAACACGUGAAAUUCCGUCGGAAUCUGGGAGGACCAUCUCCCAAGGCUAAAUACUCUCUAGUGACCGAUAGUGAACCAGUACCGUGAGGGAAAGGUGAAAAGCACCCCGGAAGGGGAGUGAAAUAGAACCUGAAACCGUGUGCUUACAAAUAGUCAGAGCCCGUUAAUGGGUGAUGGCGUGCCUUUUGUAGAAUGAACCGGCGAGUUACGAUUUGAUGCAAGGUUAAGCAGUAAAUGUGGAGCCGUAGCGAAAGCGAGUCUGAAUAGGGCGAAUGAGUAUCUGGUCGUAGACCCGAAACCAAGUGAUCUACCCAUGUCCAGGUUGAAGUUCAGGUAACACUGAAUGGAGGACCGAACCGACUUACGUUGAAAAGUGAGCGGAUGAGGUGUGGGUAGCGGAGAAAUUCCAAUCGAACUUGGAGAUAGCUGGUUCUCUCCGAAAUAGCUUUAGGGCUAGCCUCAAGUGAUGAUUAUUGGAGGUAGAGCACUGUUUGGACGAGGGGCCCCUCUCGGGUUACCGAAUUCAGACAAACUCCGAAUGCCAAAUAAUUUAACUUGGGAGUCAGACUAUGGGUGAUAAGGUCCGUAGUCGAAAGGGAAACAGCCCAGACCACCAGCUAAGGUCCCAAAAUAUAUGUUAAGUGGAAAAGGAUGUGGCGUUGCCCAGACAACUAGGAUGUUGGCUUAGAAGCAGCCAUCAUUUAAAGAGUGCGUAAUAGCUCACUAGUCGAGUGACACUGCGCCGAAAAUGUACCGGGGCUAAACAUAUUACCGAAGCUGUGGAUUAUCCGUAAGGAUAAUGGUAGGAGAGCGUUCUAAACGUGUCGAAGCAUGAUCGUAAGGACAUGUGGAAUGUUUAGAAGUGAGAAUGCCGGUGUGAGUAGCGAAAGAUGGGUGAGAAUCCCAUCCACCGAUUGACUAAGGUUUCCAGAGGAAGGCUCGUCCGCUCUGGGUUAGUCGGGACCUAAGCCGAGGCCGAUAGGCGUAGGCGAUGGAUAACAGGUAGAUAUUCCUGUACCACCUAUGAUUGUUUGAACGAUGGGGGGACGCAGUAGGAUAGGCGAAGCGUGCUGUUGGAGUGCACGUCCAAGCAAUAAGACUGAGUGUUAGGCAAAUCCGGCACUCGUAAGGUUGAGUUGUGAUGGGGAGUUGGAUCAUGUAUCCGACGAGUCGUUGAUUUCACACUGCCAAGAAAAGCCUCUAGUUAGAAAAUAGGUGCCCGUACCGCAAACCGACACAGGUAGUCAAGAUGAGAAUUCUAAGGUGAGCGAGCGAACUCUCGUUAAGGAACUCGGCAAAAUGACCCCGUAACUUCGGGAGAAGGGGUGCUUUUUAGGGUGCAAGCCUUGAAGAGCCGCAGUGAAUAGGCCCAAGCGACUGUUUAUCAAAAACACAGGUCUCUGCUAAACCGUAAGGUGAUGUAUAGGGGCUGACGCCUGCCCGGUGCUGGAAGGUUAAGAGGAGUGGUUAGCUUCUGCGAAGCUACGAAUCGAAGCCCCAGUAAACGGCGGCCGUAACUAUAACGGUCCUAAGGUAGCGAAAUUCCUUGUCGGGUAAGUUCCGACCCGCACGAAAGGCGUAACGAUUUGGGCACUGUCUCAACGAGAGACUCGGUGAAAUCAUAGUACCUGUGAAGAUGCAGGUUACCCGCGACAGGACGGAAAGACCCCGUGGAGCUUUACUGUAGCCUGAUAUUGAAAUUUGGCACAGCUUGUACAGGAUAGGUAGGAGCCUUUGAAACGUGAGCGCUAGCUUACGUGGAGGCGCUGGUGGGAUACUACCCUGGCUGUGUUGACUUUCUAACCCGCACCAUUUGAUCAUGGUGGGAGACAGUGUCAGGCGGGCAGUUUGACUGGGGCGGUCGCCUCCUAAAGAG